rnacentral:rRNA from 1 species
UACAGAGGUGGCAAGCGUUGUUCGGAUUCAUUGGGCGUAAAGGGUGCGUAGGCGGCGCGGUAAGUCGGAUGUGAAAUCUCGGAGCUUAACUCCGAAACUGCAUUCGAUACUGCCGUGCUUGAGGACUGGAGAGGAGACUGGAAUUUACGGUGUAGCGGUGAAAUGCGUAGAUAUCGUAAGGAAGACCAGUGGCGAAGGCGGGUCUCUGGACAGUUCCUGACACUGAGACACGAAGGCCAGGGGAGCAAACGGG